rnacentral:rRNA from 1 species
AUGGGGAGGCUACGGAAAGUCUCUCACAAGGAUGUUCCAGAAGCUUCUUCUAUUGAGAGUUUGAUUUUUUGCAAGAUCCCUUUGUGCCCAAUGACUUUGCGGAAGAUGAAAGUAAAACACCUGAAGAGGAAGUUAUCCUGUGCUGCAGGAAGGAAUGUGAGGCAGAAACGAUCUUCUGAUUUCCCCGUUUGUUCAACCUUCACUAGAUAUUCUGGGAAAUUCUUCUCAGCUGUUGUUGAUGGUUUGUGUCCUAGGUAUAAGGGUGUCAUUGAGAAUUAUGGCAUGCAUUGUCUUCUUAGGUUUGUGAGUACUGAGGUCCCACUUAGGCUUGUUAAGUGGCUUGCAUCUAGGUUUGAUGUUCUCGCUUCUGAGUUACAGUUAAAAAUGAAGUUUAUCCCCCUUACUAAGUACGACAUACAUGAUAUCCUUGGCCUUCCAGUAGAUGGCCAUGUCGCGGAGGUACGAAACGCUUCAAUUGAGCGCAACAAUGGCUUCUGUAGCGAACACCCGAGCACAAUGAGUUGUGUUGCAAGCGGCCGCAACAGAGAGAUUGGGCAACUGUCACGCACGCCAUCCAACUGUUGCCGAAGCGGCCGAUCCGAACCGAUAAUCACCUGGCCAACGGCUAGAGUCGCAUUUGUUGAUGAUUUGAUCUGUGUUAUCUCCAUGGAAGGUGCCCCUCCCCACUUGGAAGUUUCACAGGAGGGGGAGAAGGUGGGAGAUACUCAAAGCGAGGACUAA